rnacentral:rRNA from 1 species
UUAGGAAUAUUCGUCAAUGGGGGAAACCCUGAACGAGCAAUGCCGCGUGAGUGAUGACGGUCUUUAUGAUUGUAAAACUCUGUUGUAAGGAAAGAACCCUUAUCAUAGGAAAUGAUGAUAAGCUGACGGUACCUUACCAGAAAGCCCCGGCUAACUACGUGCCAGCAGCCGCGGUAAUACGUAGGGGGCGAGCGUUAUCCGGAUUUAUUGGGCGUAAAGCGUGUGUAGGCGGUUUGUUAAGUCUAAAAUUAAAGCCUGAGGCUUAACCUCAGUUCGUUUUAGAAACUGGCAGACUUGAGUGUGGUAGAGGCAAGUGGAAUUUCUAGUGUAGCGGUUAAAUGCGUAGAUAUUAGAAGGAACACCAGUGGCGAAGGCGGCUUGCUGGGCCAUUACUGACGCUGAGACACGAAAGCGUGGGGAGCAAAUAGG